rnacentral:rRNA from 1 species
AGUGAACGCUGGCGGUAGGCCUAACACAUGCAAGUCGAACGGCAGCACAGUAAGAGCUUGCUCUUACGGGUGGCGAGUGGCGGACGGGUGAGGAAUACAUCGGAAUCUACUUUUUCGUGGGGGAUAACGUAGGGAAACUUACGCUAAUACCGCAUACGACCUACGGGUGAAAGCAGGGGAUCUUCGGACCUUGCGCGAUUGAAUGAGCCGAUGUCGGAUUAGCUAGUUGGCGGGGUAAAGGCCCACCAAGGCGACGAUCCGUAGCUGGUCUGAGAGGAUGAUCAGCCACACUGGAACUGAGACACGGUCCAGACUCCUACGGGAGGCAGCAGUGGGGAAUAUUGGACAAAGGGCGCAAGCCUGAUCCAGCCAUACCGCGUGGGUGAAGAAGGCCUUCGGGUUGUAAAGCCCUUUUGUUGGGAAAGAAAAGCAGCAGCUUAAUACCCCGCUGUUCUGACGGUACCCAAAGAAUAAGCACCGGCUAACUUCGUG